AGCUCCGCAGGCGGCCCCGCCCGCUGUUCCUGCGUCCCCCCUCCUGGUGCCGGAGCGGGUGACAGUGGGCCCUGAGCAGCGAGCAGGUCGCCACGAACCGGACGCGGCGUGGCGGGGAAUCGGGAGCCCUGGGAGAUCUCUACAACGCCCCUCCCUCUUUAUGGACUGCCCCCAGGAAAAGCCUGGUGCUGACACCAUCCCAGCCCCCUUCUGACUUCUGCUGGCUUUGCUGCGAGAAGGAGAAGGGAAGACUUCUUAGCUGCAGAUCCUGGCCGGCACCCCUCCCCAGCCCCCUGCCUCUGCACCCUGGGAGACACUGGGCCCUUGUGCUGGGCACUGCCCUGGGGGUCUAGCCUGGCCCCCAUCCCCCCGGGGAAACUAGACAGGCUCAGCUUUGCCCCCUCCCCGCCCCCAUCUCUGUGAGCCACAUGCUGGGGAGAUAGUGGAAUGGAAGAAAGAAAGACACCUUCCCCGCUCCCUGCUUGGGGCUGGGUACAGAAACACUCCCACAGGGCUGUGAGGCCAGGAGCACGGAGUGCCCUUCUGGGAUGGGGCACACUAAGGUCUCAGGUCCCUCAGGCAAUUCUGGGCCUGAACGAGCCUGAUCUGUGUUCACUGCUGCUCUGGCGGCCUUUGACAUUUCCUCCUCUGGGGGAAUGGGCUUUGCCCUAAGUCAUGUUGCUGUAGGAAAGAAGAAUCGUGAUCUGAAUUGUUGUGGAAAGUGUUUACUUAAAAUCUUAUUAAGGUUUAUUUGUAGAACUUCUGUCUGCUGGCCUUAUCACCAGAGACAAAUUCUAGGGGGGGGGGGGUCUCUCUGCUUUGCUGACCUUUAAGAAAACAACUGAGAGAUGAAGGAAGAGCUGGGGAGAGGCAGGUUCUGUCCUGGAGGGGGGAGAGGGGUAUUACACUUGCAGUCAUGUCCCCAUCCCACCCUCCCAGCCCAUCUGCCCUUACCAGCCUUGACUGACAGGGAGGCAGCCUGAGGGUGGAUGCACCAGCAUCCCGGCUGCAGUCAAUAAUGCCACGAAUGUAGGAAUCCUUUCCAGGGGUGAGAGUGUAUUGCCCCUCUCUUCUUCCAACCCUGGACACUGCAAAGGACAAAUCCUCUUUCCCUGGCCCCCUAGCAGACCCUGGGAAAAGGCCAGACUCAACUCCAGGAUAUGUCAUAAUAGCAAAUAAUUAUGAAAUGCCUCCUACAUGUCA